rnacentral:rRNA from 1 species
UACGGAGGGGGGCUAGCGUUGUUCGGAAUUACUGGGCGUAAAGCGCACGUAGGCGGCUUUGUAAGUUAGAGGUGAAAGCCCGGAGCUCAACUCCGGAACUGCCUUUAAGACUGCAUCGCUUGAAUCAUGGAGAGGUCAGUGGAAUUCCGAGUGUAGAGGUGAAAUUCGUAGAUAUUCGGAAGAACACCAGUGGCGAAGGCGACUGACUGGACAUGUAUUGACGCUGAGGUGCGAAAGCGUGGGGAGCAAACAGG